rfam:Sorghum bicolor cultivar BTx623 chromosome 5, whole genome shotgun sequence.
GUUGUCGGAUUUACCUCAAUUCACAUGUGUUGGAGUGGAUUGGAGUGGAACUUGAACUAAAUUCCACCCAAUCCACUCCAACACAUGUGGAUUGAGGUUAAAUCCGACA